rnacentral:lncRNA from 1 species
ACAGAAAAAUGCAUCGGUACAGAGUACAUUUCAAAAAAAUUACAUAGACUGAUGUUUCAGACUUGUGCAGAAUGUUUCACCGUCACUAACUGGAUAUUCCUCGCAACAUUGCUGUCUGAUUCUUUUCCCACAUAUUUUAUCACAGAACAUUGUGUAGAGUUCCCCGUGCUAUAUAGCAAGUCCUUGUCAGCCAAUCAUCCAUAUACCACAGUGCGUAUAUGCCAAUCCCGAACCCCUAAUCCAUCCCUCCCUCUCCCAGUUGUCCCCGUUGGCAAACAUAAUGUUGUUUUCAAGUCUGUGAGUCUGUUUCUGUUCUGCAAAUAAGUUCAUUUGUAUCCUUUUUUAAUUUCAAUUUUUAUUUUUGUCUUUUUAGGGCCACACCCACAGCAUACGGAGGUUCCCAGGCUAGGGGUUGAAUCAGAGCAGUAGCUGCUGGCCUAUGCCACAGUCACCCAAUGCCAGGUCUGAACCGCGUCUGUGACCUACACCAUAGCUCAUGGCAAUGUCAGGUCCUUAACCCACUGAGCGAGGCCAGGGAUCAGACCUGCUAGAUGCUAGCCAGAUUCGUUUCCACUGAGCCACGAUGGGAACUCCUGUAUCUGUUUUUUAGAUUCCACAUAUAAGUGAUAUCAUAUGAUGUUUGGCAUUACAUUUUAAAUAAUUCAGCAUAAUUGAACCAUUUAAUGACAGAAUUUCAGGAAGCUUUCUUUUACUCAAAGUCCCUCCUUUUGAAAUUAUCAAUUCAAUACAACUUAAAGCAUACACAAGAAGUAAUGAUUCUGCAAAGUAUACCUGAAGACUACUGACUUUAGAAUUAUCCACCUAAACCCUUAAGUAGAUAUCUCUUAAAAUCGCUGACAAAAUACCACCCAUACCUUCAGUGUGGAGGUGAAAGAAGUAUUGACAACAUCUGCUAGCGGAUUGAAGAGUUUGUUACGUAGCAAUGGUGAUGCUUUCUUGAUGUCCUUAAACUUUUUCUUUCCUUAAGAUAGUAGGCUUGGUUAUGUGUGAGUUCUAUGUGUGCAUUUUCAACUCUUUUUUUAAAGAAUAAAAACAGUUUUCAGAAUAGUGCUGAUAUUAGUUGAUGAUGCCAAGGCACCAAUGAAGAGUGUAUUUUUAAAAUUGAAUAUGUUCUUAUUUUCUUAUUUGUUGAUUUUAAAGGUAAUCUAAACAUGUGAAGAAAAAAAAUCAAAUUUUGCCAAUUUGAAAAGAACAAAAACAGCUAAAACCUUCUUUUAAAAUUUCUAAGCUAUUAUGAGAAUAUUACAGACAAAAGAUUGUACAUGAAAGAAUUUUUUAAAAUCAGGUUGCUUUGCCUUUCUUUAGUCACUUCAAAAGUCUUUGUCAGAUAUGAAAAAGAAAUAUCCUCAAAAUGAAGAGUAAACAUAAUUAAAAUGGUUCCUUGCCUUGACAUAUAAGCUUCUUAAUCGGCAAAAAUCUGUAUAAAUUUAAUACUAUGAAACUUGGUUUUAAAAGAAGGAAUAAGAAAGAGUAGGCAGGGAGGGAAAGGGAGAAAGAAGUUUGAUUUUUACAAGAGUUGACAUAGAAAAUGAUGGUAAGUGAAAUUAUAUUAAAUCCUUAAUUGCUUUUGAUGAGAAAAUUUUAGACCCAUAGUAUUUUCUUUUUAUUGCCGGUAUUUGGCAUGUACCUUAGCACACACAGUAAUCUCUUUUUAAUAGUGAACUAAUGAAUGAAUGAUAUUGGAUAGGCUGCAUUAAUUUGCUUUAAACACAGUUUUCUGUUAACAGCAAUAAUUAAAAAUUCAAUUGAUUCAUUAUCAGGACCAAAUAUUUAUUGAACACUUACCUUAGCAUUCAUUCUUUACCAGGUGGUAUAGAAUUGUGGUUAAAGGUUCACACUUCUUAAAUACUUAGCUGUGGGACUUCCAUGAGCCUCGGUUUUCUCCUGUGUAAAGGGAAGAUUUUGAAAGUCCCUAGUUCAGAGAACUGGGGAGAAUUACAUGAGAUAAUGCUAUAAUGCCAUUGGCAGAGUUCCUGGCAGAUGGUAAGUACUCACUAAAUUUUGAUAUUGGUAUAAGUAUUAUAUUACUUAUAAUAUGAUAAAUAAAUAUAUUACCUGAUAGAAUUGUUAUGAAGAUUUAAUGAGUUAAUACAGGUUAUUUCCCUGGUGCCUAGAACAUCUAGGAUUUCAAAAACAUGUAUUAAGCAAUUGUAAAGCCCACACAAAACAAAACAUAUUGAUAAUUUCUCUGAAAAGAAAUACAGUCUAAUUGGAGAAGGGGAUCAUAUAUAUUAAGAGAUAAAAUUCAGUAAUUUAUUAAGCAUUGACCAUCCUUUGAGCUUUAAUGUGGUUAUCCAAUUUAACCUUCAGGAGUUCCCGUUGUGGCGCAGUAGUUAAUGGAUCCGACUAGGGACCAUGAGGUUGCGGGUUCAAUCCCUGGCCUUGCUUAGUGGGUUGAGGAUCAGGCGUUGCCAUGAGCUGUGGUGUAGGUUGCUGACACAUCUCGGAUCCCGCGUUGCUGUGGCUCUGGUGUAGGCGGGUGGCUACAGCUCCGAUUGGACCCCUAGCCUGGGAAUCUCCAUAUGCUGCGAGCGGCCCUAGAAAAAGACAAAAACAGACCAAAAAAAAACAAAAA